rfam:Vibrio splendidus LGP32 chromosome 1
GGUCAUUUUUCUUUAGUUCCUUGCUUCCCUUGGACGACCGAGCCUUUCGUGGAAGCUAAUAAUCCGUAAGGAGCAACCAAAUG